UACGAAGGGGGCUAGCGUUGCUCGGAAUCACUGGGCGUAAAGGGCGCGUAGGCGGCCGGCCAAGUCGGGGGUGAAAGCCUGUGGCUCAACCACAGAAUGGCCCUCGAUACUGGCUGGCUCGAGACCGGAAGAGGUUGGUGGAAUUGCGAGUGUAGAGGUGAAAUUCGUAGAUAUUCGCAAGAACACCGGUGGCGAAGGCGGCCAACUGGUCCGGAUCUGA
rnacentral:rRNA from 1 species